rnacentral:rRNA from 1 species
GACGAACGCUGGCGGCGUGCUUAACACAUGCAAGUCGAACGGAAAGGCCCUGCUUUUGUGGGGUGCUCGAGUGGCGAACGGGUGAGUAACACGUGAGUAACCUGCCCUUGACUUUGGGAUAACUUCAGGACACUGGGGCUAAUACCGGAUAGGAGCUCCUGCUGCCUGGUGGGGGUUGGAAAGUUUCGGCGGUUGGGGAUGGACUCGCGGCUUAUCAGCUUGUUGGUGGGGUAGUGGCUUACCAAGGCUUUGACGGGUAGCCGGCCUGAGAGGGUGACCGGCCACAUUGGGACUGAGGUACGGCCCAGACGCCUACGGGAGGCAGCAGUGGGGAAUAUUGCACAAUGGGCGGAAGCCGGAUGCAGCAACGCCGCGUGCGGGAUGACGGCCUUCGGGUUGUAAACCGCUUUCGCCUGUGACGAAGCGUGAGUGACGGUAAUGGGUAAAGAAGCACCGGCUAACUACGUG